CAAGUUAUUGCCCGCAUUUCUCCAUAUGACAUCUAUAAUAUGGAGUGCAUAAGAAGACUGAGUAACUGGUAUCAGUGGGUAGACCUUCAUGAGGGCAUUAAGCUUUUGUGAAGACUCAGAGUUACACCUGCAGUAGGUGAUGAUAUGUUGCAAAGCCUAAUAGCAUUUCUGCUUGAACACCACCUUUUUCCUGUCUGGAAACAGAAAUAAACUUCACUUCAGUGCAAGCUGUUUCAUAAUUAUUCCUGAUGAGGUUCCUUGCACUUGCCUUUUUGUUCUCCAUUGCUGGACAGUCUGAGAGUCGAUACAAUCAGCAACAGUAUGUCAUUUCAUGUAUUGUCCUGGCAAACAGGGUAUCAGGCAAGCUAUUUCCCACCUAUUCCACUUAGGAAGACUAAAGGAAUUCUCAGCCAGGAGCUACAUAUCUGUGUGUUCAUAUCUUACUAAGCCAUGUCUUAUUUAUGUCAAAAGUGGGCUCUGCUCACCUCUUGAUGUUGAGGAAAGGCUCCAUGACAGUGUAACUUCCACAGUGUUUGGCACCCAAGUAUCCUCAGUGUAUAUGCAUUAUGAUAUGGCAUGCACCCUCCCUUUUUUGUUUUAUUUGAUUUUUGAAAUUCAAGUAUGUACUGCUUACUUUGACAGCACUAUACUUAGGCUAGUUGAGGGAGCACAGGCUGCUUAAUACUAGUGAAGGAGAGCGAAAAGAGGCUGUCUCUUAGUACAAAUGUUCAACAGAUGAGAUGAUCUAGAAAGAAAGAAGCUGCUGUAGCUUCCUUGGUCCCAGAAAAUUCACAUAUUGUUAAGCUCAAUGAAACCUCUGGAUAUGGUGGGAAGUGUGAAGCAACACGAGGGAAUUCACCUAUUUGCCUUUAAUAAGCAAAGGUGGGGUCAUCCCUCCUGCAGAAUCCUCUUUGGUCAGAUAUUUCAGCCAAUUAAUCCAAGUUGGGGCUAGUAUAAAUGAAUGCAUCCAGCUUACAGCCAGCCAGCCUUUGGCAUGCUUUCUCAGCAGUCACUACACAGCUCUUAUGCAUACAAGUGCAACUGAGAUGGUGCAACAAAACUGGCUCUUUCUCUUCACUGAAACCAGCUGGUGCUGGAGGCAAUGAGCUGUUCACAUCUGUGUCAUGCUAGCAACUAUACAUGACUAUCAAGCACCCUAAGGAUUUUAGAUUGCAUGCAAAUCUGAAUCUCUGGAUGUUAAAAUGAAGCACAGAUAAACAAACCUCAUGUCCUACUAAAGAACUACAGUCUAAUCCUUCAAUCCUUCACUUUUCAGCUGUGUGGAAGAAAUAAUGACACUCCUGACAGGAUUUUGUCAUUUUCCUCAGAAUCUACU